AGGACUUUAAGCUUUCUUACCACUAUAUGAAUGGUUUCUUUGCCCAAUAAUCGGCUUUAUCAACAGUCGCCCACUCACAUACAGGAAAAUUGUUAUUAUUUGCAAUAAAUUAUUUAAAUUAUCGCUUGAAAAUUGUUUCGUUCUAAGACUUUUAAAUUUGGUCAUGAUUUUUGUUAGAUGAAGAUGGGAAGAAGAAGAGAAAAAAGUUUACAUAAUUGAGCAAGUUAAGUAAAUUUCUUGCACCAUUCUAAUUAUUUAUGCCAAUUGUCUGUGAAUUUCUUUUACUUUAUAUUACUUCUAUCCAAGUUUUCUGAAGAUUUUAUAUUUACUUAUGAUAAUCUCUGCCUUUAUUCUUCAUCCUUGUUUGUGAAUGUGAAUUAAUUGAAAUUAUUGUCCAGUUGAGUUGACUCCUUGAUAUGUGUUUUUGGUUUCGGGAUCUAAUCUCUCAAUGAAGGAAACAAAGUUGAUGUUAGGGUAUGUGGAUCGAUUGGGCUUUGGUAAACACAAUUUGAGAGAAAAAAACAACCUCUAUUACUCACAAGAAUAGAUUACACGAGUAUUUACAAAACUCAUAAAAAAACUCUCAAAAACUCAUAGACGAGGAUCACUCUCUAGGAUCACUCUUGUUCUCACUCUUCUUGGUGAAGAACACUCCAAAUUUUGUGAUGAUUUAGAAUGAAGGCAAGCACCUCUAUUUAUAGCAAAAAUGGUGAGGGUUUUUUGUGAAAAUACCCGUGUGAAUAAGGAAGUUUCCCAUUGAGGCUAUGGUUGGCUUGUUCAACCAUUGUGGGCUACCCGUGUGAAUAAGGAAGCUUCCCAUGAAGGAUAUGAUUGGCUUGUUCAAAGUUUACUAGUUUGAACAUCUAAAAAUACGGCUGGAAGUCAUCAGUUGAUUGGCUUUUCGUAUUGUUUAAGAAACAAAGCACCUGGUUAUAUAAUAUGUGAGAUGAUGAGAUUUACUUUUUGGGUACAAAAUUUAGUGAAAACUGUUAAUGUAAUGAUACACAACGACGUAUAUUGCAUUUAUGAUUAUUACAAAUUCUUUGAGACGCUAAUAAAUGUUAUUAUCUCGUUCAAGUCAAUCAAUCAAAAGACACAACAAAGGAAAAGCUUAGAGAUUACAAUGAUGAUAAUUAAGUCUUCUUGGUAGAUUAAUCAACGCCGUCUAAAUUGAGUGAAAUUAACCAGCACAAUGACUUAACUAUAUUAAAUUAUUGCAUCAUAAAAGAAUAUUAAUAUUGCUCCAUUUAUUAAGUGAUUUUACUACUUUAAUUGCAUAACUAUAUGAUUUUGGAAUAUUUUUUGUGAUUGCAUGCAGGAGGUGGUUGGAAACUGAACGGUGGAGCAGUGGCAAGCGGGUUCCAUGUAAGGCUUGAGGUCGCAAGAUCAUAGCUCCGCUAAACUUGGUUUGCUAAACGUAUACAUUAUAUCCCAUUUUGUGUGCGAUUAUACUGGGUUGUUGUUGUGGCAGGAGGUGAUUAUUUUGCAGUGCAAUACAACAAAUUGAGUUCUUGCUUGUUUAUUAAAUUUUUUCCAUGUGCUUUAUGUUUGAAUAUUUUGAUAUAUUAGAGAAUGUAUGAUGAGAAUUAGGGUUUGUAAGAG
rnacentral:lncRNA from 1 species